AUGGAAAGAUUUUAAGGCAAAGAAGACACCCAGAAAUGUUUUUCCACCCCAAUCAUCCGGUCCCAAUCAUCAUCAGUUCUUAUGUUGUCACAUACACAGCGAGUCCACAAUGUCUUAAAAUUGUUCCUGUAAGGUGCAGUGAACGGGAAUGUUCUGUCGUUG